CGGGACGGGUGAGUAAUGUCUGGGAAACUGCCUGAUGGAGGGGGAUAACUACUGGAAACGGUAGCUAAUACCGCAUAACGUCGCAAGACCAAAGAGGGGGACCUUCGGGCCUCUUGCCAUCGGAUGUGCCCAGAUGGGAUUAGCUAGUAGGUGGGGUAACGGCUCACCUAGGCGACGAUCCCUAGCUGGUCUGAGAGGAUGACCAGCUACACUGGAACUGAGACACGGUCCAG
rnacentral:rRNA from 1 species